rnacentral:rRNA from 1 species
AUUGAACGCUGGCGGAAUGCUUUACACAUGCAAGUCGAACGGUAGAGGGGGCAACCCCUCGAGAGUGGCGAACGGGUGAGUAAUAUAUCGGAACGUGCCCAGUCGUGGGGGAUAACGUAGCGAAAGUUACGCUAAUACCGCAUACGAUCUAAGGAUGAAAGCGGGGGAUCGCAAGACCUCGCGCGAUUGGAGCGGCCGAUAUCAGAUUAGGUAGUUGGUGGGGUAAAGGCUCACCAAGCCAACGAUCUGUAGCUGGUCUGAGAGGACGACCAGCCACACUGGAGCUGAGACACGGUCCAGACUCCUACGGGAGGCAGCAGUGGGGAAUUUUGGACAAUGGACGCAAGUCUGAUCCAGCCAUUCCGCGUGCAGGAUGAAGGCCCUCGGGUUGUAAACUGCUUUUGUACGGAACGAAAAGGUCUCUCUUAAUACGGGGGACUCAUGACGGUACCGUAAGAAUAAGCACCGGCUAACUACGUGCCAGACGCCGCCGUAA